CCUACCCUUCCCUCCGCUUUUCCUCUCACACACCGGCCGCCGCGGAGGGAGAGAGGAGCCGAAAAACCUCGGAGGCGGAGGGAGAGGGGACUGGGGAGGAGAUGCAGAUCUUCGUGACGACGCUGACGGGGAAGACGAUCACGCUCGAGGUGGAGAGCAGCGACACCGUCGACAAUGUCAAGGCCAAGAUCCAGGACAAGGAAGGCAUCCCGCCAGACCAGCAAAGGUUAAUUUUUGCUGGAAAGCAGCUGGAAGAUGGACGGACAUUAGCUGACUACAACAUUCAAAAAGAGUCAACACUUCAUUUGGUCCUGAGGCUCAGGGGUGGGACUAUGAUCAAGGUGAAGACACUCACUGGUAAGGAGAUCGAGAUCGACAUCGAGCCUACCGACACAAUUGAUAGGAUCAAGGAGCGCGUCGAGGAAAAAGAGGGCAUCCCCCCUGUUCAGCAGAGGCUCAUUUAUGCUGGAAAGCAACUUGCUGACGAUAAAACUGCUAAAGAUUACAACAUUGAAGGUGGUUCAGUGCUCCAUCUUGUGCUUGCUCUGAGGGGUGGUCACUAGAUACAGUUUCAUUUCAACUAGGAAUAUAUUCACAAGGAGAGCAGCUUUGCUUAUGCUAUUUUCGUCCUACCAUUGUACUUGGCUUAGAAUCAUGCACUUGACAUGAUUGGAGUAGCAAGUUAUUGGUAUGUAGAACGAAGCAAGACUGAUGUAAUAGGGUGCGAGGGGAAGGGAGUUAUUUGGAGAGUGAGUACCAAUAGAGACUCGCCGAGUGCUCCUGGACAACCCAUUUAAAGAAUAUAUUAAAAUAAAUAUGCAUGCUCCUCUUUAUUCUUUUGAAUCUAUUGCUUUCCAAAAGACGCAGAUGCCUAUCUUGGUAACGUUUUCAUUCAGAAAACAGUCUCUAUGCCUGUUGGUGUAAAAUAAUAUGUUGAGCUACACAUUACCAUUCA